AUACGGAGGAUGCAAGCGUUAUCCGGAUUUAUUGGGUUUAAAGGGUGCGUAGGCGGUUUGCUAAGCGGGAGGUGAAAUGCCGGCGCCCAACGUCGGAAGUGCCUCCCGAACUGGUGGACUUGAAUGACUCUGCCGUGGGAGGAAUGUGUAGUGUAGCGGUGAAAUGCUUAGAGAUUACACAGAACACCGAUUGCGAAGGCAUCUCACGAAGGGUUGAUUGACGCUGAGGCACGAAAGCGUGGGGAUCAAACAGGAUUAGAUACCCUGGUAGUCCACGCAGUAAACGAUGAUGGCUAACCGCUGGGCUUAUCAGUUCAGUGGCCAAGCGAAAGCGAUAAGCCAUCCACCUGGGGAGUACGACCGCAAGGUUGAAACUCAAAUGAAUUGACGGGG
rnacentral:rRNA from 1 species